GAGAGAAAGAAUAAAGGAAAAGGAAGAGGAAGAAGAAAGAAGAAGGGAAUUGAUCAUAGAGCUUCACUGGAGCCGGGUCUUAGCAUUUUGAGGCUGGAAUGAUGAUUAGCUCGUCGGGAUCUUCGAUUUGAGACAGGAUUUGGAAGGAGUGUUGGUGAAGAUCUAGAGUUUUUGAGUUAAAGAAGUGAAAUUGGGGUUUCAUUGGUGUUCUUGAGAAAAGAGGUUACACUCGUUAUACGCAUACCCACCCAUAAGAUCUCCUAUGCACUAGAUGCAAGCACCGCGUACUUACUCAAGUAAGUGGGGAGUGGACUUUGAUUUAAUUCUAUAUGCAUACCCACUCAUCAGUUCUCCUACGCACCAAGUGCAAGCACCGCAUACUUAUACAAGUGAUUUUACAGGUUACCUGCCUAAAGAUCAGGAGCCGGGUCCCACUGUGGAGUUUCACUCCGAGGACUAGUGGGUCUCUGAUGAGUUCGAGCACGGUGCUAAUUACACAUGUGAGGAUAGUGUUGUAUGGUAGCAGUGACUCCAGAUUGAUUCUUUUUUAUUCUUUCGAUGUACCCUUUUGAUGACUUGAUACUUAAAUUGUUAUAUUUUGUGUAUAUACCAUGCCUUCAGGCCCAUAUGUAUAU